rnacentral:rRNA from 1 species
UCGAAGGUAGCAUAAUCAGUAGUUUUUUAAUUGAAAACUUGUAUGAAUGGUUCAAUGAGAUACUUUCUGUCUCAUAAAAAUUUUAAUAGAAAUUAAUUUUUUAGUAAAAAAGCUAAAAUGUAAUUAAAAGACGAGAAGACCCUAUAGAGUUUUAUAUAUUUAAAAUUAUAAUUUAUUUAUAAAAUUUAAAAUUUUAAUUUUUGAUAUAUUUUGUUGGGGUGACAGUAAAAUUUAAAAAUCUUUUAUUUAAUAUUAACAAUGAUUUUUGAUUAUUUGAUCCUUUUUUAGUGAUUAUAAGAUUAAAUUACCUUAGGGAUAACAGCGUAAUUUUUUUGAAGAGUUCUUAUCGAUAAAAAUUUUUGCGACCUCGAUGUUGGAUUAA